ensembl:lncRNA
CACAGCAAAGCCAAACUAGCCAGUGUUGUAAACUAAAACUAUUAAAAAUAGUUUGUGUUUACAAACAAAAAUCUUAAAAAGUGGAAAAUGAAUGAAUGCUGAAUGCUUUCAAUUUACCUUGUUCUGAUAAAAAUAUAAUAAAUAAAAAAAUCUUGUGUACAAGAAAUGCAUAUUUCUGAAAAUACUUUAUUUUUAUACCAUGUUGUUACUUUUGUUCACAUGUAUGUAAUAAUUUUGUAUCUUUAAUUACACAGAUUAUUAAACUCUAUAAUCUUCAAGCAAGAUGGACAGCAAGAACUCUUUCAAGAAAAGAAGAGAAAACCCAGCCCUGAGAAACGGGUCAAACAAAAUAAGGCAGAAGGUUGCUACCACUAAUGAAGGACCCAAACAACUCUGCCUCAAUUAAAGUGUGUUUUCUCGUCGCAGUGGAACUGGAACUAGGUGCAGUUCAAAGUCUUUCUUCCAAUAGAUAUGUGCACUUCUGCAUAACAGCUGAUAACACACUAUUUCUCAUGUUACUCAAAUAAUUCAGAGUGAAGUUCAAAGUUCCUAUCUGACCGUGCAACUAACUGAACUCUUCCACACAGUGUGAUACAUUUGUACUUUUCCUCAGGUAAGUUCACCGGUAAAUUUAUGUUGAUAGCAAACAUUUGUGAAAAUGAAAUAAUCCAUAUAUGUAUAUGUAAUUGCAGUCAGAUAAUAAAAACAUCCCAUGCUCGUUAAAUUUCUUGUUA